AAAAAAGAACAAUUUUAUUUAUGAAUCUCAGUUUGGUAUCACAAUUCCUCAAACCAACUUAAUUAAAUAAUAUGAUUCACCAAAGUUUCAAACUCAUGUUUUCAAAAAAAAAAAAAAAAAAAAAAAAAAGCAUGUAGGAAGAAUGCUGUGGUUCUGUAGAAUCAAGAUUCCAAGCAAAUGUAUCAUAAGUAAUCUGAUCGUGUUACAGAAUCCCACCAUGUUAGAGCUGAAAUGAAUUCGCGAAAAUGACUUUAUCUUAUAGUCCCCUGGUUUGGUGGUAUAUUGGAAUUACACAGGAAUUUCAUUUUUUAAACUUUGAGGGUUUUUUUUUUUAAGAGGUGGGGGAAAGAGUGAGAAAGUGAGAGAAUCUCAGCAGGCUCCAUGCCCAGCUCAGAGCCCAAAGUGGGGCUUUAUCUCACAACCCUGAGAUGAUGACCUGAGUUGAAAUCAAGAGUUGGAUGUUUAACCAACUGUGCCAUCCAGGUGCUCCUAAACUUUUGAGUUUUUUUUUUUUUAAUUCAAACCUAGAAAAAAUUGAGAACAGUAUACCCUUCACCUAGUUUUAUCAGUUAUUUAGUAUUUUGCCAAUUUGAACUUUCUCUUUCAUGCUUUUCCACAUUCCAUUCUUGUUUUUUUUAUUCUUACAUCAUAUUUAUUUGCUAAGUCAUUUCAGAGUAAAUUGCAAAUAUCAUGGCUGGAGUGGACACUGUGGUCUGACACCUAUGAGAAUUUUGGCAACCAACAGCAUGCAACUGAAAAAAAGGAAAGGCGAUCUAUGAAAAAAUUGUUUUUGGUAAGUACCACUCCAAUUAUUAAAAUUUGGCAGAAAGAUAUUACUUCUACUACUUUCCUCAAGUUUUGUCAUGAGAAAAUCAAAGCAGCAAGAAAUUUAAUUUUUAAAGCAAUUCAAGGCAAUUAAUAAUCUGAAAUACAAAAAAAAUAUCCAACUUGGCUCAUGAAAAACAAAUCCCUAUUGUUUAUAAAUGAUCUACUUUUUUUUCUAUAACUGUACAAAUAAUCUUUUGAAGGCAAAUGAAUAAAUAUUUUGAAAAUUUGACUAUAGUAUUUAGG
rnacentral:lncRNA from 12 species